AGCUCCAAUAGCGUAUAUUAAAGUUGUUGCGGUUAAAAAGCUCGUAGUUGGAUUUCUGCCGAGGACGACCGGUCCGCCCUCUGGGUGAGCAUCUGGAUCGGCCUGGGCAUCCUCUUGGGGAACGUAGCUGCACUUGACUGUGUGGUGCGGUAUCCAGGACUUUUACUUUGAGGAAAUUAGAGUGUUUCAAGCAGGCUCACGCCUUGAAUACAUUAGCAUGGAAUAAUAAGAUAGGACCUCGGUUCUAUUUUGUUGGUUUCUAGAGCUGAGGUAAUGAUUAAUAGGGAUAGUUGGGGGCACUCGUAUUAACGCGUCAGAGGUGGAAUUCUUAGAUUGCGUUACGACGAACUACUGCGAAAGCAUUUGCCAAGGAUGUUUUCA
rnacentral:rRNA from 1 species